GACGUAGGAUGCGAGCGUUGUCCGGAAUUAUUGGGCGUAAAGCGUACGUAGGCGGUCCAGUAAGUCUGGGGUUAAAGACCGAGGCUCAACCUCGGGAGUGCCCUGGAUACUGUUGGGCUGGAGGGUGGAAGAGGGAAGUGGAAUUCCGAGUGUAGCGGUGAAAUGCGUAGAUACUCGGAGGAACACCGGUGGCGAAAGCGACUUCCUGGUCCAUUCCUGACGCUGAGGUACGAAAGCCAGGGGAGCAAACGGG
rnacentral:rRNA from 1 species